rnacentral:lncRNA from 1 species
CCCCAGCCUUUGACAAGAUUGUAGAGCAGCAAUACUUAUGUGUCUCUUUGUAAGCUCUCAAAACUCAGGCUCUGCCCCCCAGCGGCCUUCCCUCAGAGCUUGGUGGGUCCCUGCAGACACCUUGGUGGAACCCUCGUCUGCCUCUGGGAGAACUUGAAGUUUGUGACUCAAGAACCAGAGUCUUUCUUUCCUCUCCUUCUUGGUCAAGAACGGGUGAGUUCAGGCUAGUGAGAUGGCUCAGCGGUUAAGAGCACUGAUUGCUCUUCUGAAGGUCCUGAGUUCAAAUCCCAGCAACCACAUGGUGGCUCACAAUGAGAUCUGACUCCCUCUUCUGGUGUGUCUAAAGACAGCUACAGUGUACUUACAGUGUACUUACAGUGUACUUAUAAUAAAUACAACUUUGGGCCGGAGCAAGCAGAGGUCUUGAGUUCAGUCCCCAGCGACCUCAUAAUGGCUCACAACCAUCUGCGUACUCAUAUACAUAAAAUAAAUAAUAAAUCUUAAA